rnacentral:rRNA from 1 species
UGCCCUAGUAACGGCGAGUGAAGCGGCAACAGCUCAAAUUUGAAAGCUAGCCUUCGGGUUCGCAUUGUAAUUUGUAGAGGAUGAUUUGGGGAAGCCGCCUGUCUAAGUUCCUUGGAACAGGACGUCAUAGAGGGUGAGAAUCCCGUAUGUGACAGGAAAUGGCACCCUAUGUAAAUCUCCUUCGACGAGUCGAGUUGUUUGGGAAUGCAGCUCUAAAUGGGAGGUAAAUUUCUUCUAAAGCUAAAUAUUGGCGAGAGACCGAUAGCGCACAAGUAGAGUGAUCGAAAGAUGAAAAGCACUUUGGAAAGAGAGUUAAAAAGCACGUGAAAUUGUUGAAAGGGAAGCGCUUGCAAUCAGACUUGUUUAAACUGUUCGGCCGGUCUUCUGACCGGUUUACUCAGUUUGGACAGGCCAGCAUCAGUUUCGGCGGCCGGAUAAAGGCUCUGGGAAUGUGGCCUCCACUUCGGUGGAGGUGUUAUAGCCCAGGGUGUAAUACGGCC